GAUGAACGCUGGCGGCGUGCCUAAUACAUGCAAGUCGAACGCUGGAAAUCUAGCUUGCUAGAUUGAAGGAGUGGCGAACGGGUGAGUAAUACAUAAGCAACCUACCCACGAAGACUGGGAUAAUCUCUGGAAACGGGGACUAAUACCGGAUAGGUAAUCGGAAGGCAUCUUCUGAUUAUUAAAGGUUAAAAACACUGGUGGAUGGGCUUAUGGCGCAUUAGUUAGUUGGUGAGGUAACGGCCCACCAAGACGAUGAUGCGUAGCCGGCCUGAGAGGGUGAACGGCCACAUUGGGACUGAGACACGGCCCAGACUCCUACGGGAGGCAGCAGUAGGGAAUGUUCGGCAAUGGGGGAAACCCUGACCGAGCAACGCCGCGUGAGUGAGGACGGCCUUCGGGUUGUAAAGCUCUGUUGUAAGGGAAGAACGGUAGAUAGAGAAUAUCUAAAUGACGGUACCUUACCAGAAAGCCACGGCUAACUACGUG
rnacentral:rRNA from 1 species